AAUGUGUAGCCAUUAUCGGUGCCAUUGACAUUGUUUUUGCUAACUCAAUACAUCGUCUAUGUGUGUGGCACAUGUAUCAAAAUGCUGCAAAACAUUUGAGCCAUGUUUUUCAAGGUUCCAAGACAUUCAAGAAAGAUUUUGGCAAGUGUGUUUUUUUAUUUUGAAGAAGUUGAAGAAUUUAUAGCAGCUUGGAAUGAUAUGUUAAAGACAUAUAAUUUGGAAGACAAUGAGUGGCUACAUAGAUUAUUCCAGAGCAAAGAGAAGUGGGCGCUGGUGUAUGGUCGGUAAACCUUCUGCGCAGAUAUGAUAUCUACACAAAAAAUGUCUAUAUACAUACAAAAUUUUAAUUAUAUUGUCAUAAUGUUUUCUUUUCUAAACAGGGCAAGCAACAAUGUACAAGAGUGGUAAUUGUGCUUCUGCAUCAUCCGAAGGAAAUCCUAGUUUCAAUGUUCAAUUGAACAACAACAAUUUAGCAGGAUUCAACUGGUCUAUGCCUCAACUACCGCAGGGCGGGAACUACAAUGUUCAAGCACUACCGGGCGCUAUGCCUCAACUACCGCAUGGCGGGAACUAUAAUUUUCAAGCACUACCGGGCGCUAUGCCUCAACUACCGCAGGGCGGAACUAUAAUUUUCAAGCACUGCCACAUGCUAUGCCUCAGGUUGAGAACUACAAUAUGCAAGUAUUGCAGCGGGCGAUGCCUCCACUACAUCAGGCGAAUGCAACUUUUCAGCAGUUGCUUGGUUUGCAGCCACAACAGCCAUAUUCCUAUUAUAACACUCAACCAAGUCAGAGUUCUGGUUCAGUAGGUUUACCAGAUAUGGGAUGGACAACAUAUCAAAAUGGUCAGCUGCCAAGCAAGUUCUUGGGUAGCCAAUCAAGUCAUCAACAAGAUAAUCCUUUUUAAGUGGCUCGACGUUACAGUUCUUGGGAUGUAGUACUUGAUCUUACCAUUCAUAUUACAGCUCGAUAUGUAAGAAUACUGGUUAUGCACUAGUUUAUUUUCUAUGGUUUAGUUCUAAGUUAAACGUUGUCUUGGAGAUUAAAUUUUCCACAAGGAACUUCCAGCAAUUUGUGUUCCCCGUUGUAGUGAUCCACAACAUUUGAUGUGAUAUAGUAAAUAAAUCCAUAUGCUACAAGGGGAGUAAGGCGUACAUGGUUAAUUAAGUGAUGAACUAUC